UGCAAGUGGUAGUGAUCCGAAAGGUGAACGACCCGCAAGGGAGCUUGCACAGGUGUUGCAUGGCUGUCGCCAGCUCGUGUCGUGAGAUGUUCGGUUAAGUCCGCUAACGAGCGCAACCCUCGCUGUACUGUUACAUGUGUCAUACAGGACCGCCGGUAUCAAGCCGGAGGAAGGUGGGGAUGACGUCAAGUCCGCAUGGCCUUUAUGUCCGGGGCUACACACACGCUACAAUGGUCGGUACAAUGGGUUGCUAAGCCGCGAGGUGGAGCCAAUCCCCCAAAGCCGGCCUCAGUUCAAGAUUGCAGGCUGCAACUCGCCUGCAUGAAGCUGGAGUUGCUAGUAAACGCGCGUCAGCUAUAGUGCGUUGAAUACGUUCUCGGGCCUU
rnacentral:rRNA from 1 species